rnacentral:snoRNA from 1 species
CCCCUCUGAGGGUCGCACCUGGAGAGCUUCCAGUACUCUACCAGUCACGACUACAGGAGGAAAAGUCAAGUAGAGGCCUAUCCAUUCCAUUCCUAGCUUGGGCAGGGGCUAGUAAGUGGAAGGCAAUCUGCUCCAAGU